ensembl:lncRNA
CUAUAGACCAGAGCCCUAUUCCCUAUAUAGAACACUACUAUAGACCAGAGCCCUAUUCCCUAUAUAGAACACUACUAUAGACCAGAGCCCUAUUCCCUAUAUAGAACACUACUAUAGACCAGAGUCCUAUUCCCUAUAUAGAACACUACUAUAGACCAGAGCCCUAUUCCCUAUAUAGAACACUACUUUAGACCAGAGCCCUAUUCCCUAUAUAGUGCACUACUAUAGACCAGAGCCCUAUUCCUUAUAUAGUGCACUAAUUUUGACCAGAGGCCUAUUCCCUAUAUAGAACACUACUGUUGACCAGGGCCCUAUUCCCUAUAUAGUGCACUAAUUUUGACCAGAUCCCUAUUCCCUAUAUAGUGCACUAAUUUUGAUCAGAGACCUAUUCCCUAUAUAGAACACUACUGUUGAUCAGGGCCCUAUUCCCUAUAUAGUACACUACUGUUGAUCAGGGCCCUAUUCCCUAUAUAGUACACUACUGUUGACCAGGGCCCUAUUCCCUAUAUAGUACACUAAUUUUGAUCAGAGGCCUGUGAGGAAUAGGGGGCCAAUUGGGACGCAGACUGUAUGUGAAACUGAUCAGUUUUUAAAUGUUUCUGCGGUUCUUAUUGGUUGUCUGAUUCUCUGACCAUGUCUGUGGUUGUUAUGGUUACCGUCUGAUCCAGUUCAUACAGACUGUUUUGGUUGUUGUUUCUUUGUUCUGUUUAUCUCUCUCUCUUUUUGUGGUUUAACUGUCUGUGGUCAGGUUCUGGCCAAUCAGAUGGGUCCGUGGUCAGGUUCUGGCCAAUCAGAUGGGUCAGGUUCUGGCCAAUCAGAUGGGUCAGGUUCUGGCCAAUCAGAUGGGUCAGGUUCUGGCCAAUCAGAUGGGUCAGGUUCUGGCCAAUCAGAUGGGUCAGGUUCUGGCCAAUCAGAUGGGUCAGGUUCUGGCCAAUCAGAUGGGUCCGUGGUCAGGUUCUGGCCAAUCAGAUGGGUCUGUGGUGGUGGUGGUGUUGUGACUACUGCUGUCUAACUCCUCCUGGAGGACCCCUGGUGUUUCUGAUAGUUUAACUUCCGUCCAGCCCGGGAUUCAAUCAAAGGCGCAUUGUGGAUUAUGAGCAAACCAAACUAGACUGUUCAAUCAAAUGUUCAGCUGACAUCCGCAGCGUUUACCAUGACAACCAGAGGAAUGAGCUGGUUAACGGUGCGACGUGGUCAGUGCACCUUUAGGUUGAAUCCCAGCCGUCUCAUUCAGACCUGGGACACCAAAUCAUGUAUCAAUUACAUGUCCCAAAAUGGCACCCUAUUCCCUAUAUAGUCCCCUACCUUUGACCAGAGGCCCACGGGGUAGCGGGAGGCCCACGGGGUAGCGGGAGGCCCACGGGGUAGCGGGAGGCCCACGGGGGAACGGGGGGUUAACGGGAGGCCCACGAGGUAACGGGGGAUAACGGGAGGCCCACGAGGUAACGGGGGAUAACGGGAGGCCCACGAGGUAACGGGGGGGGAUAACGGGAGGCCCACGGGGUAACGGGGGGGGGAUAACGGGAGGCCCACGGGGUAACGGGAGGCCCACGGGGUAGCGGGAGGCCCACGGGGUAGCGGGGGGGCUAACGGGAGGCCCACGGGGUAGCGGGAGGCCCACAGGGGAGGCAGUGUCUGUCAGCCCUCCAGGUCUAGUUUGACCUCACAGGGGAACAGGAGGCCACAGGGGAGGCAGUGUCUGUCAGCCCUCCAGGUCUAGUUUGACCUCACAGGGGAACAGGAGGCCACAGGGGAGGCAGUGUCUGUCAGCCCUCCAGGUCUAGUUUGACCUCACAGGGGAAUAGGAGGCCCACGGGGGAAUAGGGGGCCACAGGGGAACAGGACAGUGUCUGUCAGCCCUCCAGGUCUAGUUUGACCUCACAGAGGAACAGGAGGCCACAGGGGAACAGGACAGUGUCUCCAGGUCUAGUUUGACCUCACAUCUCCCUGGUUAAAUGGAACUGGGGGGGGAACAGGACAGUGUCUGUCAGCCCUCCAGGUCUCGUUUGACCUCACAUCUCCCUGGUUAAAUGGAACUGGACUCGUCACUCGCUGCUUCUCAAUGUUUUAUGGAGUGUCUGUAUGUUAUUAUUUGAUCACAUUUUAAAACUACUUAUGUGUUGACCUCUAAAUACCCUGUGAACUAUUUUGAUUGAGAAUAAAUACAAAUAAUAAAUAGAUUUAUGUCAAA